UUUCCAUGAGGAGGCGGUUAUUUGCAAUUGCUGGAAAGAUGAUUUAAUAGAGAAGAUUGACAGCAUGAUUGGUCAGAGCGGUGAUUGUUUGGUGCUGGCAAAAAUAGUCAGUCGUGUCAGGCUCUGUUAAUAUGCCUGAGAAAAAUAGUGGGAAGAUAUUUUUCUUAUCCAUAAAAGUUGCAAUCUUUACAUUAUAUACUAGUCUGACUAGGCUAUAUAAGGAAGCUAUAGGAAACUAGGAAAAAUAAGCUAUACAAGGAAAGGAAAUAAAUAUAUGCUAUACAAGGAAAAAAUAAAUACAUGUGCACAAAAUUAGGCUAUAAUCUCUGACUUUCAACAAUGCCAAUGUCUAAUCUGUUCUCUCCUUUCUUCUGGUGGGUGAGUUUUUUAGUUACCCUGCCUGAGUUGUCACAAUUUUGUAUUAAUCUUCAUUACUUCAUAGGAAAUCCAAGAACGUAUGUGGUGUAUUUUAGUUUAUGAUAGGG
rnacentral:lncRNA from 1 species